GGAAUGUUUAAAGCAGUGGGUUCCGCGUGAAAGUGAUGCCCCAAUUUCUCAUGCCACAUACUCAUGUGAUAGCCAGCUUAUAUAUGCUAGUUUCUUGGAUGCAACUGUGUGCAUCUUCACUGCUGGGAACCUCCAUAUGCAGUGCUGCAUUUAUCCUUCUGCUUAUCUGUCACCCGGUAUCAGCAAUUUAAAUAUCCACCCAGUUGUAGUUGCAGCACAUCCAGAAGAUCCAAACCAAUUUGCAUUAGGUAUGUCAGAUGGUGGUGUUCAUGUUUUUGAACCUCUUGAAUCUGAAGGCAAAUGGGGUGUCCCUCCACCAGUUGAAAAUGGCUUUGCAAAAGGUGGGCCA
rnacentral:misc_RNA from 1 species